UCGCCUCCUCGUUCUCCACAAGAAACGGCAGGAAAUCUCUCUGCAGUGUCUGCACUGCACCCAUCCGCUUCUCCUCGUCCGCCGCGGCCGUCGCCGGCGACGAGCAUGGCGUACAUGACAGCUGUCGCGCCCGUCCCCUGGUGGCCGCCUCCCCCGGAGCUGGCGCAUGCGGGCCUCCUCGUCGCGUCCUCUCCCGCCGGCUAUCCAGAGCCCCAAACCCUACCCUUCUUGUUCGCGCCGCUCCCUCCGCCGCCGCCUGCGGGGUGCCCACUUCUUCCUCCCCCAGCCCCGAUCGUCAUACAGCUCCAGCCCCACCCCAGCUUGCUCGCGGAGGUGGAUCAUCGCCGCAGCAGUUCUCUCGUGCAGUUCUUGAAGGAUGAGGGGGCCGUUUUGUCGCCGGAGGAUGAAAAUAAGAGGGAGAAGGUGAUCCGAGAGCUCAAGAAGAUAGUGAUGCAUUGGGCCAACGCGGUGGCUUAUGAGCAGAGUGUGCCCCAGGGGCUGGCCACAGCUACCGUCCUGACAUACGGUUCUUACACAUUAGGGGCUCAUGGACCUGAAUCUGACAUUGAUUUACUUUGUCUUGGACCUUGUAUUGCAACACUGCAGUACCAUUUCUUUGUUGUUUUGAGACAAAUUCUUCAGGGCAGACCAGAAGUAUCAGAAGUACACACUGUUGAGAAGGCUAAGGUUCCCUUGAUGCGAUUUAGAUUCACUGGGAUUGCAGUUGAUUUGACAUAUGCCCAACUCCCUGUUAUUGAUGCAUUAAAGGCUAUAAAUACGUUUAGCCCUCAACUACUACAGAAAAUAGACACACGGAGCUGGAGGAGUUUAUCUGGAGUUCGUGUCAAUGAACAAAUUGUUCAGCUAGUACCAAAUGCGGAGUUUUGUUUUACUGGAAAUACAAUGCAGAAGUUUCAAACUCUGUUGCGAUGCAUCAAACUAUGGGCUAGGAAAAGAGGACUUCAUUGCCAUUAUCUUGGCUUCUUUGCUGGGAUUCAUUUAGCAAUCCUUGCGGCAUAUGUCUGUCGGAAAUUUCCAGAUGCCAGUGUCAGUGGUUUGUUCGCAGUGUUCUUUCAGACGUUUGCUCACUGGCCUUGGCAAGUUCCAGUAAGUCUGCAUGAUGAGCUAACUACAUGCUUGCAUUCGGAGGGACGUCUCAUGCCUAUAGUGAUGCCUUGUACCCCGCCAGAGUUUUGUGCGUCCACUGUGACAAAAGGCAGCUUAAAAAAAAUAAGAGAGGAACUUACACGUGGUUAUGUUUUGACAAGGUCCAUUCAAAUUUCAGUGUGCACAAUCAUUUGGAAGUGAGAUUGCAGUUUUAUUCUGGGAAAUUGGUUGGUGGCAAGGGGAUCCAGCUUCUAUUUGCAAGAUCCAUUGAGGCAUGAUUUCCAGUGGAGCUGGCUUUUUGAACCCUUCCCAUAUGAUCAGAAAUAUCAGCAGUUUCUCCGCAUUGCUUUACGUGCGCCAACUAUUGCUGAACUAGGAGACUGGGCUGGAUGGGUGAAAUCUCGAUUCCGUUUCCUGAUUCUGAAGCUGGAAAGGGCUGGGAUUGAGUGUGAUCCAUGCCCCUCGGAGGAAGUUGAUCAUACAGACAAUGACCCCAACGUGGUCUUCUACUGGGGCCUUAUCCCUAAAAGAAUCAUUCAGGUCGACACUAGCUCCCUGAAAGGAGAUUUCAUGGAAGACCUCACCAAUGAUGUGUACGGCACGGUGAAGUGCACGCAUUCAGAUGUGACAAUAUCUGUGGUUGGGCUGCCACAGCUGCCUAAGAGCAUGUGCAGCCGGGUCUAUCCACCGGCAGUACAUGCAGCACUGUAUGAUGGGCUACGAGGGCACAGAUGAAGGCCAGAUCGAGCGCAGGUUCGUUAGAUCAUACUACCACGACCGAUGCUCCAGUCUUCCGGGGCAACCGUGUACAGAAUUGAUGAGUUUUUUCAUCCCAUAGCACAGGGAUUCAAGGUACUGGACCGGGUAUUCUUUUGAGCUGGGAGGAGUGCUUGUGUGCGCAAGAAUAUGGGAGGACUACUGACCGGUAGAAGAGCAAAGAAAAUGUGUAUAGCAGAGGCAUGUAAAAACUUAGGCCCUGUCGGCAUAGGCAGUGUACACUUCUUUUGUGUUCUAAGUGCUGCUGGAUCCUGAUUCAUUCAAAUUUUGCAAUGAACAAGAUGGCAAGAUGUGUAUAUAGUUGGUUCUAUUGGCUGGGUGGAUGUUGAUUUUGA